UACAGAGGUCUCAAGCGUUGUUCGGAUUCAUUGGGCGUAAAGGGUGCGUAGGCGGCGCGGCAAGUCGGGUGUGAAAUCUCGGAGCUUAACUCCGAAACUGCAUUCGAUACUGCCGUGCUUGAGGACUGGAGAGGAGACUGGAAUUUACGGUGUAGCGGUGAAAUGCGUAGAUAUCGUAAGGAAGACCAGUGGCGAAGGCGGGUCUCUGGACAGUUCCUGAUGCUGAGGCACGAAGGUCAGGGGAGCAAACGGG
rnacentral:rRNA from 1 species